GAGGCGUGCCCGAAAGCUAGGGCUUACCUUGAUAGGGUAACUCAUAGGGGUUCAAACCCCCUCAC
rnacentral:tRNA from 1 species